ensembl:snoRNA SNORA75 Small nucleolar RNA SNORA75
GUAUUCUUAUUGAGCUCCUUUCUGUCUACUGGUGGCAGUCUAUGGAUUUGCACAAGAGAAAACUAGCGCUAUUUUACCUUCUGUCUUUAAACAGAAGGUUUAAAUUUGACUGUUUUGUGAGAAAUUC